rfam:Vagococcus lutrae LBD1 adhBo-supercont1.17, whole genome shotgun sequence.
GGGGGCGUUCUGGAUUCGACAGGCAUAGUUCGAGCUCGAAUGGCGCUUUGUAGGUGACGACUACAUAAAAACGUCACAGUUAAAUAUAACUGCAAAAAACGAAAACAAUACUUUCGCUUUAGCUGCCUAAAAACAGCUUAGUGAAGAUCCUACCGGCAUCGCCCAUGUGCUCGGAGCAGGGUCUCAAACUUAGUGGGAUACGCUUAUUUUUUCCGUCUGUAAAAAUAAGAAGAGAUUAUCAGACUAGCGAUGUUAAACGCCCGUCAUAUGGCAGUUAACAAAGCGAAUCUCUAGUAAUAUGUCUAUGAGCGUAGAUGUUUGAGUGGCGAUAUGUUUGGACAGGGGUUCGACUCCCCUCGCCUCCAUAA